UGAGGAAUAUUGGACAAUGGAGGCAACUCUGAUCCAGCCAUGCCGCGUGAAGGAUGAAUGCCCUAUGGGUUGUAAACUUCUUUUAUAGAGGAAGAAAAUGUUCUACGUGUAGAAUUUUGACGGUACUCUAGGAAUAAGGACCGGCUAACUCCGUGCCAGCAGCCGCGGUAAUACGGAGGGUCCAAGCGUUAUCCGGAAUUAUUGGGUUUAAAGGGUUCGUAGGCGGAUUAAUAAGUCAGGGGUGAAAUCCAACAGCUUAACUGUUGACCGGCCUUUGAUACUGUUAGUCUUGAGUGACAUAGAAGUAGAUAGAAUAUGUAGUGUAGCGGUGAAAUGCAUAGAUAUUACAUAGAAUACCAAUUGCGAAGGCAGUCUACUAUGUGUUUACUGACGCUGAUGAACGAAAGCGUGGGGAGCGAACGGGAUUAGAUACCCCGGUAGUCCACGCCGUAAACGAUGGACACUAGUUGUUGGAAAUUUCAGUGACUAAGCGAAAGUGAUAAGUGUCCCACCUGGGGAGUACGGUCGCAAGAUUG
rnacentral:rRNA from 1 species